AGAGAGCGGCGCGGCGAAACAAAGAUGGCGCCGACAUCCAGCCUUGUCUGGAUAUAAACGACUUACUGCGCAUGUGCAGGCUUGUCCCCUUGCUAGGGCUCCCUCUAGUGGUGAACAGCGGUACUGCACAUGUGCGGUUUAUGCACCAGGUGUCAGUUGACCUUUAAUAUGCUAAUGAGGUGAUUCAUUCUCCGCCAAUCCCUGGAGGACAAGUAGUGGGGUGAUCCAAGCCCCACCAAUCCCUGAGAGAUAAUUAGCAUACUGUUGUCUAUAUAAGCCGAGCGAUUUUGCUGCUCGGAGUCCCUGUUCAAGAGAGCUGUAACACUAAGAGAGCUGUAACACUAAGAAGAGCUGUAACACAGUAAAGGCUUGCUCGCAGAAGAAUCCUGUUGCCACGCGUCGUUCUUGCUGGCGGGACAUUGGGCGCGCGACAGCUUGGUAUUGUUGUGACCCUGUAGAAAGCCCAGAAGUGCGGUCUUCCUUUGCUGAGUACUGAAAUGCACUCUACACAAGGCCAGCCAGCUGAGUGUACUGUCUGUCUCAAGUGUCCCAGCAGAAAAUCUACAGCAACGGCAGAAGCUUGGGUUUCUUUGUACAUCAGCCAUGAUUGAUUGGCCAUGGUUGUGUGGGCAUGGGUGGAGAGGAAUGUGAGGUCGUUACUUUGCUAGGUUGAGAACUGCCACGUUAGAUUAAUGUUGCCUGCGAUAGACUUCAGAGGGAAUAUACGGAAGCACGCUCAUCUUGUCCAGUAUUUAGGGCAUGGCCGAUGAUGGAAUGUGCUCUUUAAGAAAUGAAGAACAGAAAAAAAAAAGAAAAGAAAAAAUCUCCAACAAGGUAAAACACAAAAUUUAUGAAGAAAACAAGCAAGAGAGCUCUCUACUACACCACUGUUCUUCCAAAGAAGAAUUCUAAGAGGACUUUGGGUUUUCCUGGGAACUGGUACAUGUUCCUUCCCUUUUUGUGGAAAGAGCACUUAGUGGGCUCUAAGCAGACACAAAUGCAUGUAGCAUGUAAUAGUGAAGGGAGUCUUCAACCUUGUGAGUACCAGACAGAGUCUAGCAACUACCAGAUUUUGCAAACAUCUAAACAGGAAAAGGUUUCAUCCAAUGACCUUUGGUGACUGUAGGUUUUCAUAGAUGCACUUUAUCCUAUAACCUUUAUAAAUCUGGAAAUAAAAGGUUUAUGCACUCAAAAAUAAUAAUUGAGUGAAUGUGCUAGUAACAGUGUCAAAAACUAUAGAGGUCAGAAAUGACCUCUAUAGAGCUAAUCUAAACCAUUUCUUGACCUCCGAGCUUAUUGGUGAAUAAAAAUAGUCUGAAAAGAAA